rnacentral:rRNA from 11 species
AAAUGACUCUCGGCAACGGAUAUCUCGGCUCUCGCAUCGAUGAAGAACGUAGCGAAAUGCGAUACUUGGUGUGAAUUGCAGAAUCCCGUGAACCAUCGAGUUUUUGAACGCAAGUUGCGCCCGAAGCCUUCUGGCCAGGGCACGUCUGCCUGGGCGUCACGC